UUGAGCAGUGCAGAGAUGACGUAGAUUGAGGCUUGCAGAGAUGACGUAGAGGGAACUUUUUUCGGACGUGUGUUUUGUUCGUUAAUCGAAACAUCUUUCCCUUUUGGUGCCAUUGCUUAGAAGGGUUGUUCAAAAGGUCUUGAUACCGCAGGUCCGAAAGAAAACAGCUAAUUGAGAAAAUGCCGCCUCUUGAAACGAGUAUAGCGGUGGAAACAGAAGAUAUAGCAAGGAUUAAGUAUCAUAUCGCACCAGAGCUUAAAGACCUAUGCUUAAUGAUAAAAAUUGCUCUUGUCGGAGCACUUGAAAAGUGCGAAGGAGCUGAGAGAACGGAAAUGUUCAAAUCUGAUGGGGCACAAAAUCGAAUUACUGAAGUGAACGCAAAACGAGAAAUUUUCACAGCAUGCAGGAAAAAACAAAAACAAAAAGGAAUCAAGUAAAGAGAAGAAGGAAGCCCUCGAUGACCUGUCCAGGUGAUAAAAUCUAUGCAUAAUAGGAAUACCUGACACAGAAGACAAAGCAAAUGAAGCUGAAACUGUAAUUAAGGAACUAACUGGAGAAAAAUAUUCAGAGUUAAGAAACUAGAUCUACAAGUAGAAAAGACUCGCAGGGUGCCAUUCAGUUUUAGUGAAAAGAAAGCAGUACCUAGAUAUAUCCUGCUAGUUUUUUUUUUUUAAUUAGAAAGGGUAAGGAAAAAAAGUCCACAAGUACGCCAGAGAAGACAAGCCACUUAUAAAAGGAUAAAAGUUAGCCUGACUUCAGAUUUUUCCCUUGCAACUGUAAAUGUCAGAAAACAGUAUCUACAGUUUUUGCUCAGGCUCAGUCUUAUAUUCUGCUCUUUACGACCCCAUGGACUAUCAGGCUUCUCUGACUGGGGGAUUCUCCCAGCAGGAAUGGUGGAGUGGGGUGCCAUUUUCUCCUCCAGGGGAUCUUCCUCACCCCAAGGUGGAACAGGUGUCUCUUUUGCCUCAUUCACUGGCAGGCGGAUUCUUUACCAUGUGGGGAGCCCAUCUAUGGUUUUAAAGGCAAAUAGUUUUGAACCAGUUAGAUAUCCUGACAAGUUAUUUCUGUACCAAGGCAAUUGGAAGCGUUCACAGAUAUGCAGAGGCUGAGAAAGUAUAUCUUUUAAGUACUGCCAUUGAAAACUUUGUUAAAUGAUGUACUGCAGCCAACAAAAAACAUGGAUUAAAAUAAUAAGACUAAGGAGGCAAAGGGAUAAAAAACUUGGUGGUAAGGUUUAGUUAAACAGCCUUAAGGUUACAGUGUUAUGUAGAAUUAUAAAACUAAAUGCAAAUAUAAAUAUGUAAACUGGGUCUAAAAUUUCAGCUUAUGAGGCAUGCUAAAUGUUCAAUAUGUAAAACAAAAAAAAAAAUACUGCUUUAUUUUUAGCAUGUAAAGAUAUGCAUGUUCUUAAGUUAAACAUUAAACGGACUUUGUCACUGCACAGAACCUGUAGAAUAAAGGCAUAUCAAAUGUUAACCUGACAAAAUGGGAAAACCAGUAGUAUAGUUUUGUUUCCACUAGUUAUAAUUACAGGAGUGGGAAAGUAGCAAAUUUGUAAUGCUAAUACUAGUAGUGUAAAAAGAAACUUUAUAAAUUAUCGAUUGGGGUGGUACUGGAUUGAAACCUUGUUUAAAGUACAUCUUGCCUGUGGAAAAUGAGUACCUACUGCUUUAUGUAGUAGAUCCUUGAAGGUAAAUUUGACAAUAAAUGCUACAAAUAGAAUACAUAUUCAAAUUGUAGGGGAAGUGGUGGAAAACAGCAAGGAAGCAUUAAAAUUGGCAUAAAGUAGAUUGAUACAGGUACUGCUGAGUUACCACACUCAAACUGGUUAAAUAUUCCUAUUUUAGAAGAUUGAAAUUGGAUGAAAAAUCAAUCUAUAAUCCUGGAUACCCACAUUUGUAGAAAACCAUAAAAGAAUUUAAAGAAUAUGAAAACAAUGAGUCAUAAGGGAGCAAUAUUUUUAUUAGACAACUCAAGCUAUAACAUUUAUAAAAUAUACAGUACAGGUUGUAAUACUUAAGAUGCUUUAUGUGGUAGGUAACAUGAAUCCAUUGUAAAAUAAAUGUUCAGUAUCUUCCUAUGA